UAUCACCGUUAGAUGAGUUUGAGUUUCGAGAUUUGUUUGCAAAUGGAUUAUAAUAAGCUCAUAGGUUUCAUGUGUGCCAUCUGUCAUGUUGGAUGAGUCACUAAGUAAUCCAUGUGCAUUGCACAUGAUCAGUUCUGUGUGUUUUGAUUAUUUGAAAGCUUUGUAUUUCAGUUUAGGGAGUAUUUUUGCUCACCAUCAUUUAGUUUGGUUAUACUCGCUACUCUAUUUAUCAUCGUUAGAUGAGUUUGAGUUUCGAGAUUUGUUUGCAAAUGGAUUAUAAUAAGCUCAUAGGUUUCAUGUGUGCCAUCUGUCAUGUUGGAUGAGUCACUAAGUAAUCCAUGUGCAUUGCACAUGAUCAGUUCUGUUUGUUCGGUAGCGGAGGUCCAACGGCUAUAAGCCUAUGGCCUCUCACACCUUACAUGCUCGUAAUGCUUUACCGAGAAUUAAGGAAUUGGUGUAAUAGCACCAUCAUCUUCUACUUCUCUCCCUCUCCAUUGUUCUCUGCAACUUCUUCAUUUCAAGUUCUUGUUGAAUGUUAUUGCAGUAAAACCAUCAUAAACCACCCAAAUUACAGAAUCUAAUAUGGUCUCAGAGCCUAAGUUUGAUUUAACUUUCAUCUGGGAGUAAAUCUGUGCUUGUAGAAUCAAGCUCACAUUGAGCUUCAUCUCUGCAAUACUGAGCUUUAUAAACACUGAAAUCCGUCAAACCCAAGUCUAACAUGGCUGGAUCAACUAGUUCUGAACUUAGUACAACAGUUUUCAAUGGUGAAAACUACGAACUCUGGAGAAUCAAACUGAACACCAUUCUCAAUCUCAUGGACCUUGGGAUCUCAUUGAGAAAGGGUGUGAAGUUCCUGAAUCGAAGAAGGAUCUGGCUAAAAGAGCCACUGAUGCAAAGAAGGAGGAGGAAUCAAGCACUCUAGCUGAGGUGCUGAUGAAGGAUGCCAAGGCCCUUGGAUUGAUUCAAGGAGUUGCCUCUGAUCAAAUCUUUCCCACAAUCUCAAAUGAAGAAACAUCAAGGGGAGCUUCGGAAAUAUUACUGCAAGAAUUCAGAGGUGAUAACCAAGUUAGGAGUGUGAAAUUACAAGGAUUACGUAGAGAUUUUGAAAUACACUAGAAUGAGAGAUGAUGAAUCCCUUUAUGUGUAUCUUACUCGUUUGUUUGAUAUCAUUAAUCAAAUGAAGAGUUAUGGUGAAGAGUUAUAUAGAGAAAGAGUAGUACAAAAAUUGCUUAUUAGCUUGCCUAGGUCCUGUGAUUCUAUAUGUUAUGUGAUUGAGCAUUCUAAGGAUCUGGAUACGCUAAAAGAGCAAGAAGUUGUUGCAUCCUUGAAGGGUUUUGAGCAACGGUAGGAUAGGAAUGCUGAGAGCUCCACUGAGAGAGCUUUUGCUAGUUUGAAUGUAGGGUCAAAAUUCCCUAAACUAGUGGUUUUUCUGGCAAUCAAAGGACAAUAAAGAAUUGGAAAAAUAAGGGGAAUAAAUGGGAAAAUAAGACACUUUUUGUACCAAAACAAAUUGCAGGACAAGAGUAUAACAUGAAUGCCUGUAAGCAUUGUGAUAAGCUUCAUUAUGAUAAAUGUUGGUUUGAAGGAAAGCCUAAGUGUACUAGAUGUGGCAAGUUUGGUCACGAAGCUAGAAACUGCAAUGGAAACAAAAAAUUGUGCAGAAGGAAAAUUAUGCAAAUCAAGUGGAUGAACUUGGAACUCUUUUCUAUGCAUGUAAUGCAGUCACAUAGGUGAAAGUUAACAGCACAUGAUACAUUGACAAUGGGUGUAGUAAUAAUAUGACAGGAAAUGAGAAGUUUUUGGUUGAUGUGAAGAAGAACCUCACUGCUUGAGUGAAAAUGGCAACUGGUGAAAUUGUCAAUGUUGCUAGUAAGGGGACUCCUUGUAAUUGAAAUCAAGCUAGAAAGAAAACACAUUCAAGAUGUGAUAUUGUUGCCCGGAUUAGAGAAAAAUCUUCUAAAUGUGGGACAAAUGAUGGAACAUGUGGGUAUUAUUUGCUGUUUGGAGGAUGUGUGGUUAAUGUAUUUGAUGGAUGGAGCAUAGACAAUCUGGUGGUUAGAAGCAAAUAACAGGUAACAGAUGCUUUCCAUUACUAUGGUACUUGCAAACUCCAUGCUAUUGAAUAUAAGUGUCUCACAUUGCUCACAGGUUUGGCACAAGAGAUUUAGUCCCUUGAAUGGAAGAAGUCUCACUUUACUUGUAGAACAAGACAUGGUUCAUGGAUUACUUUCACUAGAAGAAUCAAUGGCAGUAUUUGAAGGAUGCAUGCUUGGCAAACAGCACAGAGAUGAGUUUCCAAGAAUGGCUAAUUAGAGAACAAAAUUACCCCUGGAAUUGGUACUCACAAACAUUUGUGGUCCAAUGCAGAUGGCUGCAUAAGAAUGGGUUUAUUUCUUGAGACACAAGUCAAGAGCAUUUGAAUGCUUCAAGGAAUUUAAAGCUAUGACCGAGCUACAAAGUGGUUAUAAGGUGAAAUGGCUUAGAAGUGACAAAGGUGGUGAAUUCAUGUCCAAUGUAUUUGUUGAAUUAUGCAAUUCCACUAAAGUGCAAAGGCAAUUGAUUGAUCAUGUUUUAUACUCCACAACUAAAUGGUGUUGCUGAGAGGAAAAAUAGAACUGUUGUGGAGAUGGCCAAGACAAUGCUACAUGAGAAGAGCAUGCCAUAUCAAUUUUGGUUAAAGCAUCACAUAUUGCUCUCUAUUUGUUGAACAGAAGCCCUACUAAGGCUUUUGAUAAGAUGACUCCAUUGGAAGCCUACAAUGGAAGGAAACUAGGAAUUGCACAUCUCAACAUUUUUGGCUCACUAUGCUAUGUUCACAUACCCUGUAACUCGAGACACAAGCUAGAGAGCAACAAUCAUAAAUGCAUUUUUGUUAACUAUUUUACUAGUGAAAGGGUACAAACUACAUGAGCCUCUCUCAAAGAAGAUCAUACUCUCAAGAAAUUGUAUUUGAUGAAGAUAGCUGCUGGAAUUGGAGUGAAAACUCUGAGGGAGAUGUUAGUGUUCCAAUCCUUGCUGAGGAGGAAGGGACAACUAGUAAACAUAUUGAAGGUACUACCGAAGUUGAUGAUACUCAAGUUUCGACUCCUAUUACUGAACAAAGUAAGGAUAUUCAAGAUGCAUAUGGUGCCAGCUCACAGAGAGAUGUGGAGUUAUCACAAAGUUAUGACUUCACUCCACAAAAGUGGAGGAAUUUGAUUGAUGUACGUGCACACUACAAUGUAUGCAUUAUUGAACCAGACAACUAUGAGGAAGCUGCACAAGAUGAUUCAUGGAAAAAAGUUAUACAAGUUGAAAUUGACAUGAUUGAGAAGAACUACACUUGGGAUUUGGUGAAUGGACCAUGAGAUAAACCUAUUAUUGAUGUGAAAUGAGUCUACAAGACAAAACUCAACCUUGAUGGUACUCUAUAGAAGAACAAAGCAAGAUUGGUAGCCAAGGGAUAUUCAUAGAAGCUUAGAGUGGAUUUCAAUAAAACCUUUGCCCAUGUGGCAAGGCUUGACACAAUUAAAACCUUGAUUGCCUCAGCAACUCAUAAGUGUUGGAGUCUCUAUCAACUUGAUGUGAAGUCUGCAUUCUUAAAUGGAGUACUUAAAGAGGAAGUGUAUGUGGGAUAAUCAUUGGUUUUUGUGAUUAAAACUGAGGAAGACAAAGUAUAUAAGCUAAACAAGGCUUUUCAUGGAUUGAAGCAAGCACUUAAAGCAUGGUAAGAUGAGGUAGAUGCCCAUUUUAUCAAUGAUCGCUUUCCGAGAGUCCUAGUGAAGCUACAUUUUAUAUCAAAAGAAUGGAACCUCAGGUAUCAUCAUUGUAUCUCUUUAUAUUGAUGACAUUGUCUACAUUGGAAGUUGUCCAUUAAUGCUUUAGAAAUUUGAAAAUGUUAAGAUAAACCAUUAUGAGAUGACAAACUUUGGAUUGUUGCAUCAUUUAUUGGGCAUGGGAGUUGUUCAAACUGAGAAAUUCAUUUUCAUUCAUCAAAAGAAAUAUGCAUUGAAACUACUUGAGAAGUUUGGCUUGAAGGAUUGUAAAUUAGUGGGAACACCACUUGCAGUGAAUGAUAGAUUGAGCAAAAAUGAUGGCACUGAACCAGCAAAUGAAUCUGAAUACAAAAAUCUUGUUAGAAGUAUGUUGUAUUUGAUUGCCAUAAGGCCAAAUAUUAUGUUUGCUGCAAGUCUGUUGUCUAGAUUCAUGCAUAAUCCCACAAAGAAACAUAUGGGAACAACCAAAAGAGAGCUAAGAUACAUUUAAGGAAGUGUGGAUCAUGGAAUUGAGUAUAUCAAAGGGAAAUCAACUUUACUAAUAGGCCAUUGUGAAAGUGAUUGGGAUGGUAAUGAAGAUCUUGUGAGGGGUACCUCUGGAUAUGCAUUCAACCUCAGUUUAGGUGUGUUUUCUUGGGCUUCAAUUAAGCAGAAUACUGUUGCACUUUAAAAUGUAGAGGCAAAAUAUGUUAGUGGUGCAGACAGUGGCGAAGCCACGUGAGGGCGAGGAGUGGCGUCCGCCACUCCCCUCGCCGGAAAACAUAGCCCCAGCGCAGGUUCAGCCCCUCCCCUCCCGGAAAACCCAACCCCUCCAUGGCUGUUCUACCUCCGCCACUGUGGUGCACCAUGGACCUGUCCUCGGUUUAAGUUCUUGCUUGGGAGGGUCCUAGGGUGUGCAUGUGUAUAAGAUUGUGGGUAUGGAUGUUGCUCACGGGUAGAGAGGGAGAGGGUGAGGGCGACUUGAGGGAGAGAGAGCUCGGGGAGCUUCGAAGAAGAGCGGAAGAGGGAGUGAGGGGAGAAAGGAAGAGAGAUGAGAGAGGGAGUACGGGAGAAAGGGACAUAUAUCAGGGGGUGGGCCUUGGGCUCACCAAUUAAGACCCCAAAACUAUUUUUAAUUAGGAGUGGGGUGUGACAUCACAUGUAGGCUUAUUUGUAUUAAUACAUUACGAACGAUAAUAGUUGUAACUUGUUUGUAUUAAUACAUUACAAACGACACUUAAAUUUUUUACUAUAUAAAAGGAUUUUGUUGUCUACAUAUUUUUUGGAAUUUUGUACGCUUUUAAAUUUCGCCCCUCCCCUUGAAAAUUUCUGGCUUCGCCACUGGGUGCAGAGGCAACAUCACAAGCUAAAUGGCUGAGAUUUGUAUUGGAGGAUUUUGGUGAAGAACAAAUUAAGCCUACUCUAUUGCUGUGUGACAAUAUAUCAGCAAUUGCCAUUGCCAAGAACCCUGUCUUUCACCAAAAGACAAGGCACGUUCACAGAAAGUUUCACUUCAUCAAAGAGGCAAUCCAACAAAAUGAAAUUGAGUUGGUAUGCUACAAAACUGAGGAACAAAUGGCAGACAUUCGUACAGAGGCGCUACCAAAGGACAAGUUCUUGUACAAAUGGCAGACAUUUGCAGCCAUCUUCAUGAAGAAAAGAAUGUUUUUGAUUCAUUUGAAAAGCUUAAUUUUGUAUUUUAGUUUAAGUGUUUGUAAAUGGAUGGUCAGGAUUAUAAGAAGCUCACAGUCUGUUAUAUUGGAUGAGUCACUUAAGUGAUCCAGUGCAUUGCAUAUGAUCAAUUCUGUUUGUCCGGUACUGGAGGUCCAGUCUAUGGCCUCUUCCACCUUACAUGCUUGUAAUGCUUCACCGAGACUUAAGGAAUUGGUGUAACAGCACCAUCAUCUUCUACCUUUAUCCCUCUCCAUUGUUCCCUGCAACUUUCUUCAUUUCAAUUUCUUGUUGAAUAUUUUGCAGUAAAACCAUCACAAACCACCUAAAUUGCAGAAUCUAAUACCAUUGCCUUCCAUAGCCUAAUUAGGUUUUUUCUGUAUUGUGCAGCUCUUGCAUGCGGCAUAAAAUAUUAAGCAUAAAAGCCAAUUGUUGAAAUUAUGUAUUAUACAAAAAGUGUAUCAAUCAGAUGGGGAAGUAAAAUUUAGCUAUUUGGAAUCAAUGAAAUUAUACUUCUUGUUCAAACUGAAAACAUAUAAAAUAAAAAAUAAAAAAUAAAAAAUAAAAAAUUUAUUUUCUUAGUAGAUGACUACAAUUACAGUAUUAUAGGGCGAAUAUAUUGUGAGAGAUGUUGCUCAAGGUGCUUUCUUAGGAAUUUAGGCCACAGUUGUUAUGAAUGUACUACAUAAAGAACAUGGAGAUUAGAUGCAAUACAUUUGAGAGAAUUUUUAAAUGACACCAAGUCCUUUGUUCAGCUUUUUCUACUGCAUUUCUAAUGUCUUUGUACUGAUUGAAUAGUUCAUUGAUAAUCUUCUUGCAGUGCGUUUUUCACAAGCUGAUGUGCAACCCAGUCGCAUGUGGGUAAUGCACGAGAGAAAAAUUGUUGCUACUACACUCUCCCUUGAGUUGCUACUACACUCUCCAUCAAGUCUUCACGGAUGAUUGUUGAAGUCUUUGAUCAGUAUAGGCAAUACACACGCAAAUCUAUGUUAGGAAUGCAUGUAAGAAAACAUAAGCUCACAAAAACCUGACAAUGGUAAACCCAAUGCGGGACAAGGCACAAAGUCUCGGAGAAAAAGGUCAGUAAUACAAAGUCGACACUUGAAGUAAUCAAGCUGUGAUUAAUGCUCGCAUUAGCAUAUGACCAGCCCAAGAGAGGUGCCUUAUUAAAACCUUGUUAGGUUAGCGAAAUUCUUAGAAUCUGUCUCGGUGGUGAGUGGUACAGGAAUACGUUCCUCUUGAAUGAAACCAAUCAAAUUUAGUGCACACUGCGUGGGCUAUGAUGGGUCUGAUUCAUGCUGAGCAGGCAUAAAGAGAUCCCGAGCCUCUUCAUCGUGCAGACCUAACUUGCAUUGCAAGACUUAUGAUGAAAAAGAUCAAAUGCAUAAUAACAUUCCAUGUUGGAAUAUGAAUACAUUUGUAAUCAAUCACUGAAUUAUACUGCAGGAAAUCACUGGAGCCUUCAGCACGAACUGCAUCCUACAUUAUCCAAAUUAUCGAAAUAUCUACCCGCUCUGGGCUCUUGCAUAAUACCGCCGGAGGGUUCCAUUGCCUUCCAAAGCCUAAACAAAUCGCCGGUUGAAAUGUACUUUUACUACUUUUCAUGUCUUCUGGUCAUUUCUAUCUUCAACGGUGUUGCUUCAUGCACGGAUGUUUACAUCGAUGUAUCUACGAAUAAUUAAAGAAAGAAAAGCUUUGCGUUUAUCCCUACUGAGCUAAAUUUUCUCAUUCUGUUACUAUUUAUUCUGUUUCCAGUGUUCUUUUUAUCUCUGAAUAGAUCAAAGACAAUUUUGAAUUAAUAAACAUAAAGAUUAUGCAGUAUGUUACCAAUAGAAUUACAUGGUUUUGAGCUGAGUUGAAGCUCUCAUACAGGUUUAUAAACAUCAGUUCAUUAUCCGGAGGACUAAGCUUUGAACAAUAAACAAUCAUUCAGAGGGUGUCCAAUACCUGGCACGGAUAUUCUCCGAGGGCCCAAACGGGAAAAAUGUUUCGGUAGGCUGAAUAGCUGAUCAUACAGUUCUUGUUGAAAACACCAGUGAUCUCCUGUAUGGGGAAUGAAAACAUUACUGGUAGUGCUAGUUACAAAUAGGUUGAAAAUUAGCUAUGCAGUUUCGAAUUCACAUGGGGUUAUCAAGGAUUCACGAUAUAUCUUUUUGUUUUAUAAAGGUCUUUACACCUGCAUUUCUCUCUGUACAGUUUUCUUCUACAUUGGCUAGAUGUGUUGAAAAUGGCAGUUAACAUGUCUAUAAUCAAACCAAACAGAAUAGAUUUCUAUGGCGACAGAAAAACCAUGUAAACUUUAUGUGAAAAAUUGAGGAAAAAGUUGCUAGAUUACCUUUUGAGGGAAAUCUCCAUUUUCCAUUUGAGAAUUGAUUAGUACCCUAGCUGCCCGAUGCAACGGAGUUGGGUCUCUCUUAGCCUUUCAAAGAGGCAAACAUGAGAAGAAAAUACAGGUAUUAAAGUCAGCAACAUGUGGAAGUUAUACAGUUAUUCGUAAAACGUUCCAAAAACUAUGUUUAGCUGCAAAUCAUUGAUUCAUUAUGCAGCAGCCAGCAGCCAGUUCGAUAAGUGGAUGAAGAACUCGAAGGAUAAAUUUAAUAAAUCGCAUGGGAGGGAGAAGAGAUGAAUUUGAUAUCCAAAUGUACCUGCCCGGCACCAAUGAGGGCCAACAUAGCCCAUGCAGUAUGAACUAUAUGUGGCCUAUUGUCCUUGAGAUUUGUGUACACCUGACAUAUAAACAGUCAGCAUUGGAGUGAUGCAAGUGUAACGUAGAUCAUACAUCUUGCCACAUGAGUAUGCGCGUGAAACCAGCAAUUGACUGAAGGAAUGAAGCAAGCUCCGUGGGUAUGAAAGACAAAAGAAAGUAUAUUUCAAAUUUGAGGAAUCAUUAAACCUUGUUCUGACAUGAUAGAUAGCUUUCUCCCCAUCCACCUGAAGAAAGCUCUUUGGAUAACAAAAAGUCGCAUGCUUUACAAAUGCUAGAGCAGUCUUCCUAUGUCCUUCCCGCAGCAACCAACCCUUUUAUUCCAAACCACCCAGCAUAGGUCAAGCAUACUCCCCAGGAACCAUACCUAUCAUAAAUCUCCGUGUAAAUUGGUGCGACUACUUUCAAGAUCACUAUGUUUCUAAAUUGUCAAACAUUAGAGAGGGAGAAAGAGGUGAGAGAUUCUGUCCUACCAAACAGUCUAACAUGUUAUGUCGUUCGACUGUUGAUAAAGAUUGUUGGCAAGAUGGAAUGAUGUUCGAAUAUGCAGUGUUUUAAACUUGACUGAUUUACAUGUCUGACUGUCUGACAAGAGAGCAUCAUGCAAUAAAUGUGUAUGCAUGCAUGAGUUCUCAAUUGUGCAAGUCGUGGAUGCCAAAGACCAUUGCUAGCGGGAUUGCAUUGACUUCGUGGAUCACUUGGACUACACAUCGAAGUCAAUACAACCAAAACCAUUCAGCCAUCAUACAUCCAAACACGAAUGAAAUGCCCUGUAUAUGUAUGCACGUAUUUUUAAUUGAAUUCGGUUACAAACCAAGAUCCGUCUGUUGCUUGUAUCGUUUCAAUGAACUUUCCAGCACGAGCAAUACAGUUUUCUAUUUCUUCACUCCUAUGCCCAGGACAUAAUUUUUUGAACAAUGCAAGUGCUUGAAUUGCCGCUGAGGUGCAUUCAACAUAUCUGCAUCCCCGUUCCAGUCAAGAUGACUUCAGGCAUCUUCCAUGAUAUAGGAUAAAUUCAAAAUAAAGUGUACAGAAAUCUUACGGAUAAUCAAUAACAAUGUCACCAAAAGUUUCGGCUGGGUUGAUUAGCUGAAAAUAGGAUAGAGUUAAGCAUAUGCAUUAUGGAUUCAUAUUAGAUGAUGGUAAAAAACAUGAGCAGGCUAGGCAGCAUAUAAAUGAUACUUACCUCCAACCACUGGUAUGAUCUAGUUAGUUCAUAAGUUGCAAAACCACCAUCGUCAUUCCACAGUACUUCAAGAAUCCAAAGAUUAGGGGAAUAGUUAAAUACUCAUAAAACCAAAAUGCAGGAAUAUGUAAAUACUCUGUCAACAAAUUAAGACUUGAGCUGAGCUGCUGAUACGAAUCGUGACAUAUUGACAAGGAGGGUUCUUUUAAAAAUAUAAAUUAUAAAGAGAAUACAGGUUGACACAUUAUGUCCGGUAGGAUUCAACUCCCGUACAGCCAGUGAUUUACCUGUAAGGAAAGGGUAACAUUUACUGCAUCAUAAAAACGCUUUAUAUCUAAUGAGUCCCCAACUGUUUCUGCUGGAAGUUUUGAUAGUAAUAAGGCAGCCUGCACAAAGAAGUAAAUAUUAAAUUUGUAAUAAAAAGAAUGUCUGUAUGUGAAAUGCUGAGUGUGCAAGCUACCUUCAGCACUUCUGCUGUGCAGUCAGAGAUAGGCCAUCCAUGAUCGGCGGUUGAGAAUGGCCAAGCACCUUUUGAAAUGUGACGAUACCAAAAGUUCAGAUCUCCGGGACAAUCUUCUAAAACCUUCAAAGCAAAAGUACCAGUCAAGCAAGGAUAAUGAGCAUAAUUGUUAAAUGAUACGGUAAAAUUUUCUGCUCACGAAAACCUGGGAAUCUUUGAUAUACUGAUGCGCUUUUCUUAAAGUUGGUCCAUACUUUUCAACAAGGUUAGUUGAUAUGAUCGCUUGAAUGGCAAAAGAAGUAUCCCAUGCUUGACUUCCAUUGUAGCCCUGCGGUAAAAGGAAAAAAAAACAUUAGAUAAAAAUCACAAUUAGCAGCAUGUCAGCAAAGUCUUAAGUUGGUAACAAACUCUAGCGAUGCCAGACCAAAUUGAGAUUGCUUCAGGUAAGAAAGAGGGAGUCGGGAAGAGAUGGGAAGAAUCUUAAAAUCAGUUCCAGCCAAUUUAAUGCUAUAACUGUCCUGCAUCAUCAUGCCAUCUUCAGCGAUCCAUAAAUAAUCAGGGAUUCUCGGGAGAUGCAACUUGAAUGCCUCUGAGUUUGGAUCCUCUGCCCAACAAAAAAGCAUAUUUAACACCUACAUCAUUUAAGAAAUAGGCAAUCAAGAAGCACACAACUACAUACUGAAUGAAUCUGUAAACCAAAGAAACAUGUCAAUUCAGCAAUUCCAAUGGCAACCUUGUCAAUAUAUGUAUGGAUCUAUUGGCAGAUGAUCAUAUACAUACCUUGUUAACAGGCCCUAUGCAUAAGUACCGAGUAUUUUCAUCUUCAUAAUGUAUAUGCUGCAUUACAGUCUUCAAAGCACUCUCCCUCAAUUCUUUUGCUGGCCAACGUGUGAAAACAGGUUCAUAAACUUAGUGAAGAGACCCCCACAAGAUAUCUUGUACCAUUGGGUGCUGAUGGUAUAGAUCUUCCUAGAAGUCGUUUAAAACAUCCAGGUAAGAAUUAAAAACAUAUGCAAAAUGAAUUGUCAUCAAUAAUUACCUGUACAACUAAAAUCCGGUAAAACAGAUGCAGAAAUUGUGGUAUAUUGUAUUUGAAGAGUUAUAGGAAAGCAAUCUAACAAUUAAACAUCCGUCGGACUAAAUCCCUAAAUAAAAAAUGUACUUUUACAAAUAGCUAUCAUGUAUUUCACCUGUGAAUAGCCCUAUGAAAAGUAAAAAAAUGUAUAAUUAAACUCACAAGCACGGGACUUUUAUGCAGGGGAGCUGGAAAAAGCAGAGUACGCAGAUGUUUCUUACCAACCUCUGCAUGUAGAUUGCGAGCAUUAUUCCAAUCAACUUCAUGAUAGGGGACUGUAUAAAGCUCCUUCCUCAAUGACCGGAUUGUGGGUGUGAUAGGUCCAACAAACCUCUUCCCAUACAAAUAUGACAUGGGCAAAUAUACCAUUCGGCAAUGACACCACAUUCUUCCUGUAUGUGGAAAAUUUGAAAAUUCAUAAACUGUAAAGAGUAGCAGUUAGGCAGUUAACAACAUUGACAAGUGUAUGAACAUAAUAAUGUUAAUGGGACCUAUGUUAUUUAUUUGAUCGAGAUAUUUUUAUGAAAGGAGGCUUGAAUUUCUUCUAUCCUGCCUAGAAUGAACAUAUAGCAUCAAUGUCAAACGUAACGAUAUUGAUCAAAGACCUGGAUGAAAUGGAAGAGAGUAAGGACAUAGCCACACUUCAGGCGGAAGUGGAUUAUUCCCAGACCAUUCAUAUGCCCCAAGUACCUAUAACCACCAAAGAGUCAGCUAAUAUUUUCAAAAGACAACACCCUUGGUAGAAUCCAACAAGGAAAACACUGAGUUCAUACUGAAAGCCACAUUUUCCCCCAUGAAGUAACUGCAGUCACGCCACCAUGGUCUAAUAUCCACUUGCGUGCUAGUUCGAUUGCUCCCUGUCCAUCAUCAGCACCUUCACCAAGCAACCUCAAAGACAUAAUUAAGUGCAGUGCCAAACAUGGUACUUGGCCCCUCAAUAUGCAGACCCCAUCCCCCAUCUUCAUUCUGCAAAAACAAUUCAUCAGUGAAUUUCUUCAUUUUUCUAUGCGGAAAUCGAAGCUUUCUUAAAAGGCAUUAAUUUCAUGAAAACCAUUCUUACCUGAUGAUUAUAGAGAUAUCUGCACAUCUCACGUUGAUGCUCUUUCAAUAACACAGCAUUUGGAGCUCCAGUAAUUGAAAGUGUAAUGAUCUGUUGCAAUUGGUAAGUAAUACUUAGUCACGCAACAACUACCGAAUGGACCAAAUAAUAAAGGGUAAAAAAAACAAUCUUGAUUAAUUUAUUUUUCACUAAGAAGAAAGGCUGUGAAGUUCCGAAAUGAAUAUGCAGCCAUCUUUAGGAACGUCAAAUUUAUUUCUCAUGUUUAACCAUGACAUACAGAUUUUCCUAUUUUCAUCUUCUGGAUUACACAGUGAUUACUACUUUUCUCCCUUACCAAACCAGGAAGCAGAAACAUGGGACCCCAUAAUCCCCAGCCCAAUGACCGUCAUGCGCCUGGAUUGUUGAAUAGAAACUGACAGCCCUUCAUAAUGUGGUUGUCACUGCCUCUUCCGUCACCUCUUCUUGAUCUUUAACUUUGAGUUGUGGUAGAUUAGUGGCACAUGGAUUCUCCUUUGCAAACUACAUUUCAAAAAUAAGAACAAAACAACAACAACAACAACAACAAAGCCUUUUCCCACUAAGUGGGGUCGGCUAUAUGAAUCCUAGAACGCCAUUGCGCUCGGUUUUGUGUCAUGUCCUCCGUUAGAUCCAAGUACUCUAAGUCUUUUCUUAGAGUCUCUUCCAAAGUUUUCCUAGGUCUUCCUCUACCCCUUCGGCCCUGAACCUCUGUCCCGUAGUCACAUCUUCGAACCGGAGCGUCAGUCGGCCUUCUUUGCACAUGUCCAAAUCACCAGAGCCGAUUUUCUCUCAUCUUUCCUACAAUUUCGGCUACUCCUACUGUACCUCGGAUAUCCUCAUUCCCAAUCUUAUCCUUUCUCGUGUGCCCACACAUCCCACGAAGCAUCCUCAUCUCCGCUACACCCAUUUUGUGUACGUGUUGAUGCUUCACCACCCAACAUUCUCUGCCAUACAACAUCGCUGGCCUUAUUGCCGUCCUAUAAAAUUUUCCCUUGAGCUUCAGUGGCCUACGACGGUCACACAACACGCCGGAUGCACUCUUUCCAUCCAGCUCGUAUUCUAUGGUUGAGAUCUCCAUCUAAUUCUCCGUUCUCUUGCAAGAUAGAUCAUAGGUAACGAAAACGGUCGCUUUUUGAUCUGAUCUUCGCUAGAUUGCUCCGGUCAUUAGUGUGGAUAAGUAUAUAAAUGGAUAGAGAUAGGAAAGCAAACACAAGAUGUACGUGGUUCACCCAGAUUGGCUACGUCCACACGGAAUAGAAGAGUUCUCAUUAAUUGUGAAGGGUUUACACAAGUACAUAGGUUCAAGCUCUCCUUUAGUGAGUACGAGUGAAGUGAAUGAUUUAGUACACAAAUGACAUUAGGAAAUAUUGUGGGAAUGAGAAUGAUCUCGUAAUCACGAAACUUCUAAGUAUCGGAGUGUGGUGUCGUCUUGACUUGCCUUAUCUGUCUCAUAGGUAGAUGUGGCAUCUUCUCUGGAAGUACUCUUCCUCCAUCCAGGGGUGGUAUCUUUAACUGGUGAGAGAUGCACAAGGUAAUGUAUCAAUUUCACUUGAAGCUUACUUGUAGUUUCAGGCUUGGUCAAGCGCGAUACAAACCAUGUAGUAGGAGUCCCCCAAGUCGCCGAGCUAGGGGGUCUGCUGAAAGAGGUGACAGACAAGGUAAGCAAUCAGAGCUCCGACUGAUUGUUCACCUUCUCCCCAUCUUGCAGCAGCAUGAAGGAUAAAGAGAAGAAAAAUGAGAAGAGAUGAUAUGAGAUACUUUUGCUUUUGAAGAAGUAACUUUCCACAGGCUUAUUCUUGAACUGAGCUGGAGGGUUUUUCUGGUUUCCUCCAGAGUAUAAGGCCGACUGAAGAAUUUGAGGGUCAAAACAAGUCCAUCAAAUCUAGAGUACGUUCCACCCUGCUGAUAUGGGAUACUUUUGCUUUUGACAGAGUAAUGGAUGUAUCGGCACGUGUGCUGUUACGCUUGUCUCCACAUGCUUCCUUGUAUCCUUCGCACUUGCCCUAUCUGUUCCUCAAGCAGAUGCGGAAUCUUCCCUGGAAACAUAAGAUGUUGAAGAUGAGUACUCGAGAGCAAUGCCAGGUAAGUAAUCAGGUAAGGGGUUCUAGGCAGUCAGUUCCUGGCUGGAAGCUUGAUUCCAAGUGCUGACUGAUUGCUCUCUUUCUCCUUGUCUUGCAGGUAAAAACAAGGCCAAAAGAAAAAACAGGGAAAAAGCAUGAUAUGGGAUACUCUUGCUUUUAACCCUGAUGAUAUGAGAUAUUCUUGCUCUAGUAUAGCUUGUUUGCAGAGGUAUUAUCGGGGGGAAAGAAAGCUGAAUAUUUCGAAAGGCUUUGUUGGGAGUGCCCUCUCAGAUAUGAUGAAGGGUUGAGCAUUUUUGCAGGUCUGCCUGUCCGUUGGGGAUGGAGGUCGACAUAUAUAGGAGUCUCCCUAACAACAAGUAGUAAUGCUAUUCCUUUACCCUGCUUGGUCAUAGCACGGUAGUGGGAGCUGCCAGUUUCACAUGUUUUAACUCUGUCAGAGCACUUUGAAAAAGUGGUCUGUGGUAUCUGGCUCUCGAGAUUCGGAGAACGAUGCCUCUUCGAUUUUUGAGAAAGCAAUCAUGUUGGGGGUCUGACUCUCGAGAUUCGGAGAGCAGUGUCUCUUCGAUUUUUGAGGAAGUAAUCAUGUUGGGAGUCUGGCUCUCGAGAUUCGGAGGGCGGUGCCUCUUCGAUUUUGGAGCAAGCAAUCUUGUUGGGAGUGUUGUCUCGAAUGUGAGUAAAGGUUGGACAUGUUUGCUAGUCUACCUUGCCACGAAGCACAAAGGUUGACACAUAGGGACUUUCCAAUUAUCCAGCAAUGGUACUGUUCCUUUACCCUCUCUUCGAUUUUGAGAAAGUAGUCAUGUUGGGAGUCUGGCUCUCGAGAUUCGGAGGACGGUGCCUCUUCGAUUUUGGAGCAAGCAAUCUUGUUGGGACUGUUUUCUCGAAUGUGAGUAAAGGUUGGGCAUGUUUGCUAGUCUACCUUGCCACGAAGCACAGAGGUUGACACACAGGGACUUUCCAAUUAUCCAGCAGUGGUACUGUUCCUUUACCCUUGUGGGUAAUAAUAUGGUAGCUAGACCUUCAAAAUUUAUGUGUCUAAACUUUGUUAGUGCUGUUUCUUUGCUAUUCUUUUACCUUUCUUGGUCAGAGCGAUGUAGUGGGAGCUGCAAGCUUCACGUGCUCAACUUUGGCAGAGAACUUUGGCAAAGUGAUCUGUGGUACCCAUGAGUUAUUGUUGCGUGUGGGAAGUGGGUGAUUGAACAGUAGUAAGAUUCAUGUGCUUUCUACUUCACCAGAAGUCUUCGACAGAAUGCCCAUAAUUUCUGCAAAGCUGAGUGUGCGUGUGACAGGUGCUGACAAGGCUAGAAAAAGUAGGUGCCUCUUUGAUUUCUGAGAUCGGCCUCUGUGGUCUCUGAGCAGCCCAGCUUUUGAGAAAGCGAGCGCCUCUUCGAUUGAUUCGGAGAACGGUGCCUCACCGAUUUUUGAGAAAGCAAUCAUGCUGGGGGUCUGGCUCUCGAGAUUCGGGGAGCAGUGUCUCUUCGAUUUUUGAGAAAGUAAUCAUGUUGGGAGAGUGGCUCUCGAGAUUCGGAGGGCGGUGCCUCUUCGAUUUUGGAGCAAGCAAUCUUGUUGGGAGUGUUUUCUCGAAUGUGAGUAAAGGUUGGGCAUGUUUGCUAGUCUACCUUGCCACGAAGCACAGAGGUUGACACACAGGGACUUUCCAAUUAUCCAGCAAUGGUACUGUUCCUUUACCCUCUCUUCGAUUUUUAAGAAAGUAGUCAUGUUGGGAGUCUGGCUCUUUAGAUUCGGAGGACGGUGCCUCUUCGAUUUUGGAGCAAGCAAUCUUAUUGGGAGUGUUUUCUCGAAUGUGAGUAAAGGUUGGGCAUGUUUGCUAGUCUACCUUGCCACGAAGCACAGAGGUUGACAUACAUGGACUUUCCAAUUAUCCAAGCAGUGGUACUGUUCCUUUACCCUUGUGGGUAAUAAUAUGGUAGCUAGACCUUCAAAAUUUAUGGGUCUAAACUUUGUUAGUGCUGUUUCUUUGCUAUUCUUUUACCCUUCUUGGUCAGAGCGAUGUAGUGGGAGCUGCAAGCUUCACGUGCUCAACUUUGGCAGAGAACUUUGGCAAAGUUAUCUGUGGUACCCAUGAGCUAUUGUUGCGUGUGGGAAGUGGGUGAUUGAACAGUAAGAUUCAUGUGUUUUCUACUUCCCCAGAAGUCUUUGACAGAAUGCCCAUAAUUUCCGCAAAGCUGAGUGUGCGUGUGACAGGUGCUGACAAGGCUGGAAAAGUAGGUGCCUCUUCGAUUUCUGAGAUCGGCCCUCGUGGUCUCUAGGGAGCCCAGCUUUUGAGAAAGCGAGCGCCUCUUCGAUUUCUGAGAUCGGCCUUCGUGGUCUUUGAGCAGCCCAACUUUUGAGAAAGCAAACGGCUCUUCGAUUUCUGAGAUCAACCCUCGUGAUCUCUAAGCAGCCCAACUUUUGAGAAAGCAAACGCCUCUUCGAUUUCUGAGCAGGCGCCUCUUUGAUUUCUGAAGCUCCGUCGAGUGCAGAUUUUUAUAGGGGCUGGCAUUAAGUUCCAAAGCACACUUGAAUCUCCACUAGUAGAAGCUUCAUUCUUGCACUUCUAAGAUCUUGAUUUGUCCGACCUCUUCUCUCUUCAACACCUUUGAAAAUGUCUGGCCCCUCCGACCGUCGUUUUGACUUGAACCUUGUUGAAGAGGCAGCCCCGCCUUCUCCAGACAACAUAUGGCGCCCAUCCUUCGUCUCCCCAACUGGUCCUCUUACCGUUGGGGAUUCCGUGAUGAAGAAUGAUAUGACCGCUGCGGUGGUGGCCAGGAAACUUCUCACUCCCAAAGAUAACAGACUACUUUCCCAAACGGUCUGAUGAGUUAGCUGUUAAGGAUUCGCUGGCUCUCAGUGUUCAGUGUGCAGGUUCUGUGUCUAAUAUGGCCCAACGCCUAUUUGCUCGAACCCGCCAAGUUGAAUCAUUGGCGGCUGAAGUGAUGAGUCUCAAACAGGAGAUUAGAGGGCUCAAGCAUGAGAAUAAACAGUUGCACCGGCUCGCACAUGACUAUGCUACAAACAUGAAGAGGAAGCUUGACCAGAUGAAGGAAACUGAUGGUCAGGUUUUACUUGAUCAUCAGAGAUUUGUGGGUUUGUUCCAAAGGCAUUUAUUGCCUUCGUCUUCUGGGGCUGUACCGCGUAAUGAAGCUCCAAAUGAUCAACCUCUGAUGCCUCCUCCUUCUAGGGUUCUGUCCAGUACUGAGGCUCCAAAUGAUCCCCCUCCGGUGCCUUCUCUUUCUGGGGCUCUACCGACUGCUGAGACUUCUCCUAAGCAACCUUUGUGAAGGCUCCCUCUUGUGUGUUUAUUUUGACUCAUGUAUAUGUACAUAUUUGUAGCUUAUCGGGGAUAUCAAUAAAUAAGCUUUCCUUCAUUUCAACGUAUUGUGUUAAAUACACCAAAGCCUUCUUCGCUAAGUUCUUUGAAUUUUCUUUUGUUGAAGCUUGUAUGUUGAAGCUUUCUGAGUGGAGCAUGUAGGUUGGGGUAGUGUUCCCUUAAUUUCCCGAGUGAGGAAAACUUCUUGGUUGGAGACUUGGAAAAUCCAAGUCACUGAGUGGGAUCGGCUAUAUGAAUCUUAGAACGCCAUUGUGCUCGAUCCUGUGUCAUGUCCUUCGUUAGAUCCAAGUACUCUAAGUCUUUUCUUAGAGUCUCUUCCAAAGUUUUCCUAGGUCUUCCUCUACCCCUUCGGCCCUGAACCUCUGUCCAUAGUCGCAUCUUCUAAUCGGAGCGUCAGUAGGCCUUCUUUGCACAUGUCCAAACCACCGUAACCGAUUUUCUCUCAUCUUUCCUUCAAUUUCGGCUACUCCUACUUUACCCCGGAUAUCCUCAUUCCUAAUCUUAUCCUUUCUCGUGUGCCCACACAUCCAACGAAGCAUCCUCAUCUCCGCUACACCCAUUUUGUGUACGUGUUGAUGUUUCACCGCCCAACAUUCUGUGCCAUACAGCAUUCGCCGGCCUUAUUGCCGUCCUAUAAAAUUUUCCCUUGAGCUUCAGUGGCAUACGGCGGUCACACAAACACGCCGGAUGCACUCUUCCACUUCAUCCAUCCAGCUUGUAUUCUAUGGUUGAGAUCUCCAUCUAAUUCUCCGUUCUUUUGCAAGAUAGAUCCUAGGUAACGAAAACGGUCGCUCUUUGGUAUUUCUUGAUCUCCGAUCCUCACCCCUAACUCGUUUUGGCCUCCAUUUGCACUGAACUUGCACUCCAUAUAUUCUGUCUUUGAUCGGCUUAGGCGAAGACCUUUAGAUUCCAACACUUCUCUCCAAAGGUUAAGCUUUGCAUUUACCCCUUCCUGAGUUUCAUCUAUCAACACUAUAUCGUCUGCGAAAAGCAGCAUACACCAAGGAAUAUCAUCUUGAAUAUGUCCUGUUAACUCAUCCAUUACCAACGCAAAAAGGUAAGGACUUAAGGAUGAGCCUUGAUGUAAUCCUACAGUUAUGGGAAAGCUUUCGGUUUGUCCUUCAUGAGUUCUUACGGCGGUCUUUGCUCCUUCAUACAUAUCCUUUAUAGCUUGGAUAUAUGCUACUCGUACUCCUUUUCUUCUCUAAAAUCCUCCAAAGAAUGUCUCUUGGGACCCUAUCAUACGCUUUUUCCAAAUCUAUAAAGACCAUGUGUAAAUCCUUUUUCCCAUCUCUAUAUCUUUCCAUCAAUCUUCGUAAGAGAUAGAUUGCCUCCAUGGUUGAGCGCCCUGGCAUGAACCCGAAUUGGUUGUCCGAAACCCGUGUCUCUUGCCUCAAUCUAUGCUCAAUGACUCUCUCCCAGAGCUUCAUUGUAUGACUCAUUAGCUUAAUACCCCUAUAGUUCAUGCAAUUUUGUACGUCGCCCUUAUUCUUGUAGAUAGGCACCAAAGUGCUCGUUCGCCACUCAUUUGGCAUCUUCUUCGUUUUCAAAAUCCUAUUGAAAAGGUCAGUGAGCCAUGUUAUACCUGUCUCUCCCAAAACUUUCCACACUUCGAUUGGUAUAUCGUCUGGGCCUAUUGCUUUUCUAUGCUUCAUCUUCUUCAAAGCUACAACCACUUCUUCCUUCCGGAUUCGACGAUAAAAAGGAGUAGUUUCUACACUCUUCUGAGUUACUCAACUCUCCUAAAGAAGCACUCCUUUCAUGUCCUUCAUUGAAAAGAUUAUGAAAAUAACCUCUCCAUCUGUCUUUAACCGCGUUCUCUGUAGCAAGAACCUUUCCAUCCUCAUCCUUGAUGCACCUCACUUGGUUUAGGUCCCUUGUCUUCUUUUCCCUUGCUCUAGCUAGUUUAUAGAUAUCCAACUCUCCUUCUUUGGUAUCUAGUCGUUUAUACAUAUCGUCGUAAGCCGCUAACUUAGCUCCUCUGACAGCUUUCUUCGCCUCUUGCUUCGCUUUUCUAUACCUUUCACCAUUUUCAUCGGUCCUCUCCUUGUAUAAGGCUUUACAACAUUCCUUCUUAGCCUUCACCUUUGUUUGUACCUCCUCAUUCCACCACCAAGAUUCCUUUUGGUGUGGGGCAAGAACAAAAUACAUACAUAAAAAAUGGAAAGUAGUUUUACAAAACAUGUUAACUUCAAAACUCAUACGAUUUGGCCCAAAACCACUAAAAUUCUUCACUCAUAUUGGAAAGGGUUUAACAAAUUAGACAUAAUUGAGGACACUAACUCUAAGAAUGGAUAAAACACACUGACAACUUUAAGUUUUAUACAAAAACACCUCAAAGAGCUCAAUUGGAGAACAUGGUAUCUCAAACACAGAUCACCCGAAAGAAAAACAUCAUUCAGACUUACAAUGCCUAAUACUACAAAUGAAAUCCUAGUUUCUACAAUACUGUGUGAAAAACCCGACCGCAUUGUUCAACAGCAUUGUCAAAUAGAGCACAGUUCUAACUGAUGUUAUACAUAAUUCAAUGAUCCAGAGCACCGCAACCAUAAUUUGAACAGUUUGCAUUCAAAUUUCAGUAAAUAAUUAACCUUUUUUCACCCAUAUGCAGUAUAUUCAAUUUCUUGAGAAAAAGUGUCGAUGAAUUGAAAAAUGAAGAAAAACCCAGAUGAAAGAACCUGAAUUCUCAUGAGGAGGUCCGAGCUGUGCCGCCUUUCGAAACGGUGGUUCCAGAAAGCCUUGCGGGCAUCUUCAAUUUGCUGAAGCUCUUCUGGGGUUCCAGUCUCUGGGUGGAACUCCCACACCUGGCGGCCCAAGCGGUUGUUCACACUCUUCAGCCAUUGACCGCCACCUUCUCCUCCCACUGUCUCUGCCCCUACCUUCAGCUUCCACAUUUUUUACUUUGUUCUCUCCCUCUCUCUGUGCCAAUGAGAUUGUAUGUACUUUGCAUACGUCGCUAAAUCCGCGUGAAGUUGAGAUUUGAGAUUUUUUUCGGAACUAUAUUUUACAUUAAAAAGUUAAUUUUGAUAAUAUUUACUUUAUCAUUUAUUUUAUCUUUAUUGUUAAAAUUCAAAAUUUUCAAAUCAUUUUUAUUAGUUUUCUUUUCUUUCUUUCCUUUUGUUGGCCAUGUGAGCACAUCAAUCUUUGUGUAUUUACGGAAAAAAUCAUUAUUCUUCUAAUAAAUAGUUAAAUAUUUGUUUUAUAUAACAGUAUACUCAUUUCAUUAUACUUAAAAAUAAAUAAGUUUUCACCGUAAAAAUAAAGAAGUAGUUCGACUCAAAAUUACAAGAGUUGUCUUUUUGGUUUUUCCCACUAUAAGAGUUGUCUUUUUUAGUUGAAAGUUACUUUUCUUAAAACAAUCGGUAUUUGAAGGAGAUUUAAAUUCGGGAACUUCUUCAAUAUUGAAAAAAUAAGUAUUAGAUCGUUUGCUUGCGUCACAAAUAAAUUGAACUUCUUUAUCAUAAGAUUGUGCCCUAGAGGGGUUUAAUCUGUAGUUAAGUUUUUUUCCUAUGCCUUGUCACCAAGGAUUUUGUAUUUUAUUUGUGUUUAUGCCAAGAGACAAUCCUAAACUAAUCUGAUCUUAGUUUGCAACUGCACAGUAAAUUGAAAGACAAAAAGUAAUGCAAGUAAUGAUAGAAAGGAAAGACUGGGAAGUAAAGGAUGGUUAGAUGUCAAGGAAGAAAAUAUCGGUAAUAUCGGUAGUCCGAAAACACGGAAAUAUCGAUGGAAAUAUCGGGAUAAUAUCGAUAUCGAUAAAAAUUACAUGGAAACCACGGAAAUUGUAAGAAAAACUUGGAAAUUUUUAAUGAAACUUUGUAGGAUGUUUAUUUAGUCAAUUAUCUAUUAGUUUAUCACAAAAAAUUGGAAGGAAAUGCAUUGCAUGAUGGAUUUAACUGAUUUAAGUUGAUUAUAUAGCGAGCUGGCAAACAUUGUGAGUGUAGAAAAUAUGUAGUAAUUAAUGAAAGAAGUUUAAACACACCAUAAUCAUUUAUCUAUAAUUAAUUAGUACAAUAUUUGGAGGUUUUAUUUAGGAUAUUAAAAAAAAAAAAGGAAGUGAAUAAAAUGAUGAAGAAUAAUGUGCCGAAUUUGACACUUUAAAUUUCUUACACAUAAGAAUAAGACUAAACUUUAAUUUGGAUGCCGAUUAUGUUUUUUCAAGUUUAUAUAAAGUAAAAUAAUUGAAUUUUGGAAGCCAGGAGUGUGUCAAUUGAAUUUUGGCCGGCGUGCAAGAUAUCAAUCUCUUCGUCUCGUCGAGUAGUACAACUUUCCUUUUUGUUUCACUCAAUUUCGUUGAGUAUUGAAAAAGUUAUACUCAUUUGAAUCUUACCCAGUUUCCGGCGACCUCAGUGGCUUUCGAGGAAAUUUCCGGCCAAACCACAACGAGUCAGACGUCGUGUGAGGUACCAUUCUCUUCGUCUCUUCGAGGGCUACAACUUUCCUUUUUGUUUCACUCAAUUUCGUUGCGUAUUGAAAAAGUUAUACUCAUUUGAAUCUUACCCAAUUUCCGGCGACCUCAGUGUCUUUCGAGGCAAUUUCCGGCCAAACCACGGCAAGUUGGCCGGCGUGCAAGGCAUCAAUCUCUUCGUCUCGUCGAGUAGUACAACUUUCCUUUUUGUUUCACUCAAUUUCGUUGAGUAUUAAAAAAGUUAUACUUAUUUGAAUCUUACCCAGUUUCCGGCGAUCUUAGUGACUUUCGAGGCAUUUUCCGGCCAAACCACGACGAUUCAGACAUCGUGUGAGGUACCAUUCUCUUCAUCUCUUCGAGGGCUACAACUUUCGUUUUUUUCUUGCUUGAUUUCGUUGAGUUUUGACAAAGUUAUGGCCGUUUAAAGUGGGUGUAAAUUUUCGGCCGAAAUUCUGAUUUUCUUCUAUUGGGAGAGUCCCACAUCGUCCAUGCUUGCUCACUGCCCUCGCAAUUUGUCCUAUAAAACCCACAUUCCCCUGCUCAGUACGCCAUAUCUUGUUCGCCCUGUGGGCUAUGAUCAAGUGAAGUAUGUGUUGAGUUUUCUCAACAUAUUUAAGUAUUUUUUAAUAUUAUGUUGCGAUAUUAUUGAUAAUUUCGAAAAUAUCCCGAUAUUAUCGAUAAUAUUCCGAUAUUUUGACGAAAAUCAUUUGGAUAGUUAAAAAAAUAUCGGAUCUUCAAAAAAACGAUAAUAUCGGUGAUAUUUCGCCGAUAUUAUCGAUUUUUUCUUCCAUGUUAGAUGUUCAUCAAAUGUUAAUUAACAAGAAAGUAAAUUGCAUAUAAGGCUAAGAAUUUGAAAAGAAAUGACAAAUACAAGUAUUCAGGCAAAGUUUAAACCUAUUCAGGCAACUACUAAUAGGCAAAUUCUUGCAAGUAAGGGAAUUUUUUUUAGAAAGGAAGUUAAUACAAAAAAUCGAUUCUAGAAGUGAUAUUGCAGAGCUAUAAAGAAAAAUGAAAAUUAAUAAAAAGAACUUGAAAACUAUGAAUUUUAACGAUAAGGACAAAAUAAAGGGUAAAAUGAAUCAUACCAGUAUUAACUUUUUAGUGUAAAAAUAUGAUUUUUCGUUAAAGUGAACAGUAUCAGGAGCUUUUCGUUAAAAUUUCCUAAAAAAAUUAGUGUCUAAACAACAAAAAGAAUUUGUAAAAAGUAGGUUUGCAGAGCUUUGAAGUCUUUUUGCGUUGAGUGAGUGUUUUUUUGUGCAGAGCUUUGAUCUCUUCUAUAAAGACUAUCGGAUCAAGUGAUCUGGACUCUUGAAAUUUGAUCCAAUGACUAAAAACAGGAUUUUCUUUUAAAAAUUAUAAUAAUUUUAGUUAUUCAAUCAAAUUUCAAAGAUCCGGAUCAUUUGAUUUGAUGACCUUAGUGGAAGAGAUCCUUUAUACUUCCCUCUUAGUUCAUUCCCUAUGACCCAAUAAGUUAAUGAUUUGACUAUUGCCAGAGGAUGAGUUUUUCAUCUCGCAGCUCGAGCUUUUGUCCCUUUGAAACUACAAUUUUUCCACCAGAUAGCAACUGUCAUCUGAAAAUAAAAAAAAAAAAGGUAAAUCUUAAUUUACUACCCUCAUGUUUAGUGGUUUUCAACAUUUAGUACAUCAAGUUUUUUUCGUUUUAGAGUCAUACCUAAAGUGUAAAUUUUGGGACAAUCUCAUACAUCCGUUAGUCAAACUGUUAAAUUUUUCAUUAACUGAUGACGUGGUGCUUAUGUGGACAAUGACUGGAUGCCACAUGUCAAUAGAGGCCUACUUGAAUAUUAAAAAAAUUAAAAAUUACAAAAAAAAACCCACCCCCCUCCCAAAAAAACCCCCUCCCUCCCUUCCAUCUCUCCUCUGCAACCCGCAACACCUCCACCAUUCCUCUCCAUACCACCACCUCCUCCACCAUUCCUCUCCUAACCCCAACCCUCUUCUUCCUCCUCCUUCUCCUGCACCCCAACCCUCGUCGUUGGCUGUCCACAGCCGACCCGUCCCCAAGCCCCCUGGAGACAAUGCCAUUUUCCGUUUUCGCCGAUGUGGAUCCGGCCUCUGCUUUCGUCGUCACUCCGACGAGGAAGCUGCAGUCCGAUGACCUCGCCACGGUUCAGCUCUUUUAGGAGAACACUCCCUCUGUUGUUUACAUCACCAAUCUUGCAGCCAGGUACUGUUGAAGUUUGAACCUUUUGGAUUUUGCUGAAAAUUGGGCCACUUUUGGAAUGGGGAGAGAGAAAGAGUCGCGGGAGCGAGGGGAGGAGUUGCGGGAGUCCGGGUAGGAGUGGUGCGAGAGGAAGAGUGUUGGGGGUGGUAAUUACAACAAAUUAUGAUAAAACCCACAUCAACUUUUCCACAAAUUCAAAAACCCAAGUCCUAAAAUCUGGAAAGAAAAGCAAAAAUUUGAAAUUUUGAAUGGGGGCAAGCCAAAAUUUUGAAAUUUACAUAGCAGAACAACAUUUUGUGAAAAACCCAAAAGCAAAAAAUGAUGAUGAAAUGAAUCCAAGGAAAAAGAAAGAUGAAAUUUUGGGAAGUACCUGGAGGACGUUUUGGCUUAAGAGGGAGUAAUGGGGGCCUCUCAUUUCUGUGACGCCAUAGCUUCGAGGUUUUUCGGGACGGUCUUCGUUCUCCUCGAAGUACUUCCAUCUGUACGCCGCCAUCGUCUUCCUCCUCAGGAAUCGAGCUCACAGGACGAAUCAGAGAUUGAGAGAAUUGGAGAAAAGGAAAGGGGUGGGUGUGCACGGGUGGAAUUCGGGGAAGACGAAGAUGUUUUUAUUUUUUUUAUUUUUUAUUGAAUAAUUUAUUUUUGAAUUUUUAAUUUUCAUAUGGACUCUUUAAUGACAUGGUAUCCGGUCAUUGUCCAUAUGGACGCCACAUUAUCAGUUAAUAGGAGAUUUAACAGUUUGACUAACGGAUGUAUGAGAUUAUUCCAAAAUUUACACUUUAAGUAUGACUUUAAAACGAAAAAAACUUAAUGUACUAAAUGUUGAAAAUCACGAAAUAUAAAGGUAGUAAAUUGAGAUUUACCUAAAAAAUCAAUUGAAUUACCUUCUUUCAAUGUGAAAAAAAGUAUCUUUGACAUUCACAUUGCUACAUCAUAAAGUACUUUUGAAAACCCGGACCGCACACUGUUCACUUGUAACAUAAUUAAAUACCCAUUAAGUCAUUAGUUAAAGUUUAGUAGGUUGGGCUGAAACGUGCCUAACAAAUGUUUUCAGUCCAAACAAAUUGGCCUUAAAGGUACCUAACAAUUUGUUUGACUUUUUCAGUAAAUUAAAAUCAGGCCUUAAAGGUACCUAACAAUUUGUUUGACUUUUUCAGUAAAUUAAAAUCAAGGGAAAAUUAGGUUCACAUUCUUAUUUUUGUUACUCCAUUGAUUAAAAUUCUAUUCAUUUUCAAUUUUUCUUCAAGAUCUUUGGUAUUAAUAACAUCAUUAAUUAUUUGAAUAAUAAAAUAUUUUUAUUUUUAAAUAUAUUCAUUUAGUGUUAAAAAUGCUACAAUUAGUAUAUUUAUAUUUAUGGCUAAAUUUUUUAUUGUAUAUUUUUAUUUUUAGUUUGUACCUAUUUUUAAUUUGCAAAUAUUUUUUAUUUGUACCCAUAUAUUAGUUUCUUUUUGUGCCUAAUUUUUUAAAGUUUUAUUUGUGUUUGUAUCUAUGUGUAUACCUUCACGUGACAUUGUAUAUUUAAUUAAUGAUAUAAAAAUUACAUAUGGUAUAUUUAUGUUUAUGCCUAAACUUUGUAUCAUAUAUUUAUAUUUUUAGUUUGUACCCGCUUUUAAUUUGCAACAUUUUUAAAAAAAUUGUAGUAUUUUCUUUUUAGUUUUAUUUUGUACUCAUGUAUUAAUUUCUUUUGGCACCUAUAUUUUUAUAAAAUUCAUUUGUACUCAUAAUUUUUUAAUCUUUUAUCUGUAUCCUAAUUUAUUUAUAAUGUACCCAUUCUUCUUUAUUAAUGUACCACAUUGUUAUAUGUGAAAUGUACCUAUUUUUUUUGUAAAAUGUACCAAUUUUUUUAACACUAUGGAUACAUUCUUUUGCCAUUUAUUAUUUCUUAUUUUUAAAUAGUUUUUAUCCAUUUAUUAAAUCAAAAUGUUUGAAUUUUUUUAUUGUAACCGUUUCUAAUAGUAUUAUAAUGAGGAAUUUUAAAUUUAUAGGAUUAUAAAUCUCAUAAAAUAUCAAACAAUUAAUGUCAAAAUUAUGAAAAUAUAAAUAUUAAUAGUAAUAUAAUGAGGUGUACAAUGUCAAUGGACUUUGAUCAAACUUUGAAUACUAUUAAGGUUUUAAUCAAAGAAUGUUAAAGAUUAGGGACCGCAUCCAAAGUAUCCCUAAAAUUAAUAUUUGAUACUCUUUGUUUGUUAUCUUUUUAAUCUCUUUCCUUGAUAAAAUUUUGGUUAUACUUGUAUUAAAAAAAAUGAUUAUACUUAGCAUUAGUAUACUAUCAUAUGAUUUUAGAAUGAUAACCGAAUUUGAUCGUACAUAUCAAAUUUAUAAUAAUAUUCAUAAAAAUUAUUAUUAUGGAUGCGUAAGAUUUAAGAAAAUAAACUCAAUUAAUUUAUUUAUUUUAUUGCAAUCAAAAUAAACCUACUUUCCACACAAUAACUUCUUAAUAACAAAGCAUUUAAGGAAACAGUUAACUUUCUAUCUAUAUAUAUCCAAAGGAAGGUGAUCACAUUAAGAAAACUGUUCAGUUUCUAUCUAUAUAUAUAGAAAGGAAGUUCACUUAUACAUUCGCCUAUUGAAAGCAUAGUUACAUUUCUAUAUACAGCUCUUUCUCUUUCUCUCUCUCUCUCUCUCUCAAAGUGAUGAUAUAAAUAGGGUAGUGCUAUCCAUACCCAUUUUUGCUUACCACACACACUUCUUAAUUUUCGACUGUCAAAUCAAAUGAAUUGAAGAAGAUCAUUGACUAAAAAUUAAUAAGGUAUGUAGGAGGUAAAAAUGAGUGUGCGAGUUACACUUUCUCUAAAGAUACAUUGUGACUUAUAAAUUGCUUGCAUGAAACAGGUGCUUGAUAAGAAGAAAGAAAUAAAGCAUAUUGAAAAAUGUGGAAGCUUAAGGUUGCAGAUGGUGGCAAUGAUCCAUACAUCUACAGCACAAACAACUUCGUGGGUAGGCAGAUAUUUGAGUUUGACCCUGAAGCAGGAACUACCGAAGAGCGAGCUAAGGUGGAAGAAGCUCGUCUUCAUUUCUACAAUAAUCGCUAUCAGGUUAAGCCCAAUAGUGACCUCCUAUGGCGAAUGCAGGUAUACUUUAAUUAGUUUGUCCAAACUUAUAAUGUUGUCAAUUAGUUUACUACAAAUAAAAGCCACAAUUUGACAAGAAUAACAUUUCCCACCAAUAUGAACCUAUGAUACUUAUUUGAUCAUGUUUCUACUAAAUGUGAGUUCUAGUUAUCUUGGUUCCACCCAUGUAGUUUUCAAUUAGAAACAAUACAUGUGCCCACUCUAUAGGUGCACCUACUUAUCCACCACUUAUUAUUAACGUACCGUAUAAUAAUUGCAUAAUCAGAGACGUUUUUUUACUUUUUCACAUCAUCUAAAGAUUUUGUUUGCAAAAAAAGAAAAAAAAAUUUAAUUUAGAGAUUGUUUAGUCAACCAUAUGUAGGAGAGCACAAUACGAUGAAAGUUGUAAGCUAUGUUCGUUGAACAUGAUCAACGGUUUUGGUAACAAGUAACAUUCUCAAGAUGAAUAUACCGUUCUUGGUACUAGGAUUUAAUAAUAUUCGUCUUCACGUACUUAUGUUCGAAUCUUGUAAUGUCGAGUUUGAUACCGAUUUAUUCCACACCCCUUAAUAUAAAUAUACCCGUUCUUGGUUGGGGGCUUUUGGGCUUCUCUCGAUCUUAUUCCUAGUUGGGGAAAAGAAAGGAGCCUUGUUCGGCAGGUGCACAUCAAGUUGUAAAAAGAACAAACCACCAAACAAACAAACAAAUAUCUACUUCUUGUUUGUCUUGUUUCUGGUACUUACAAGUUUUCAUUUCCUAUCUGAUGGGCAACACCAUUAAAAUUUUAGGGUUUAAGAACAUUUAAUUAGUAAUAAUAACAUCAUCAUAACUUUAAUCCUCUCAUUAGUAUCGCUCUCAAUUUUUUGUUCACUAACCGACAGUUCCUAAGAGAGAAGAACUUCAAACAGACAAUUCCCCCAGUGAAAGUUGAGGAUGGAGAGGAAAUCACAUACGAAAAGGCCCACCGCUGCAUUGAGAAGGUCUGUCCAUUCUUUCAGCCUUGCAAGCUAGUGAUGGCCAUUGGCCGGCAGAAAAUGCUGGCCCGUUGUUUUCCUUCCUCCUUUGGUGAGCAUUUACUAUUUUACUAUCAUGUUAUUUGAAUCUCAUGUCCCGUUUUGGGCUUAAAAAUAUAUAGCACAUAUUUCUCGAGUUUUUACCAAAGUCAAAUUUAGGAGUUUACUAAUUACUUUCCAAUUCCUACUCAAAAUUUGCAGGUCAUGUGCACUUAACAUUACGGGACAUCUUAUACUAUACUCCCUGCAGAACACCGCAAAGAAAAUUUUGCGUUACAUAUACUAUCAUCAGGUACAUAAAUAUAUUAUAAGAUUAUAUUGGCUUGUUCACCCAAGAUUGUAUCAAAAUUUUAAUUUUUCAAAUGUGCUUGUUUGUGUUAAACUGACUAACAAGGGUUGUAGUUGCCCAAGAGUUUUUCCUUCUACAUCCGAAAGUCCGCUCUAUAUAUAUUAUAUAUAGAAAAAUAAAAUAAAUAAAAAAAACUAAUAAAAUAAUGCUAAUUAAUAAUCAUCUACUUUUCGGGUAAUUUCAGAACCAAGAAUGUGUGUUCGGAUUACACAUUGAGGACACAGCACCAGACUGAACAGCUCUUCAACUAAUUGUAAUGUAUCUUGGAGAAAGUGAUGUGCCAAGACAAGCUUGUGCAAGAGCUCAAUGAUCUUGAUCAUGGCAAUGUUACCCACAUGGCUCUUGGUAAAAACUGCUUCGAUGCCUCUGAACACCUAGUAGAUUGAUAUAGGCUCAUUAAUGUUCUUAAAUAGCACAAGAGACGCAAUGCAACGAACAUAUUGAUAGCUUUUAUCUAUGCCAAUAUAUGGCUGAAUUACAGGAAUUAAAUUUUGCUUCGAUAAGGACAAAUAUCGACUAAUCGUAUACAAAUGUAAUCACUCAUUAAUUCUAAUUUAAUGUUAGUUAGACCAACAAAACUAACAUUAUGUUGAAUACACUUUAAUAGUGGUGGGCCCCAUUAACUAGAUAAGUAAUAAUUGAAGAUGAGGUCAUAUAAUGUGUUUAAGUUUUAUUCUCAAUGAACAUAUUUGGUUAUGAUGGGCUGACUAGUUGUCAAGUUUAGUAUAGUGUGUUGAGCUGCACACCAAAGGUUUGCUUUCAUAUCUGCUUAAUUAUUCUUGGUAGAUACUGGUGUGUUUAGUGUUACUUCAAUACAGAACUGUCACCUUCUAUUCUUCCUUAUAUCCAGUUCACAUCCAACCAAAAGCAGUACAAAUAAUUAUCUUCACAUGUUGAUUGAUUUAAUGUCUCUCUCCGCCUCAUACAUCUUUCACACAUGCAAAUCAGGAAAAAAUGUGUGCUCUGUCAGGAUAUUUUACAAUGCCUAUCAUAUGUAUCUGGCAAAUGAUUUCGUUGGUGUCCAAAACACCUCUCAUACUACAACAAAAUCUUGCCGCCUCUCUUAAGAGGGAGUGUUUUCUGGUAAAUGAGUUUAAACUUGAUAGUAUUAAUAGUUCAAUGUCUUGUUUGGUUAAAGUUGCAGUAAUAUGAUCGCCGUGACAUCUACAAAACAUCCUUAAUACACUUUCACAUGUUGAUUAUGUACAGAGCCUCUUCUUAAACUGCGUGCCCGGUUACAAGGCUGAUCGAGGGCUCUUGAACAUAUGGAGCAAAAAUUAUGUGAACAGGCAGUGUUUCAAUUGUUGAAAAGGUGUAUGCUGCUAGUGUUAGGAAGUCUGGUUAAUUGCCCUUCCAGAUAACAGACUUUAUGACCUGACAUGGGAAUGAAGAUGCCGCCACUUUGUUAAUACAGUAUAGUGAUACGAUGUAAUUGUUUCUUGACGCUGCAGAAGUUCACCUCUAAAUCAUAGUGUCAUUCGAAUCUUCUAAUUUAUGAUACAUGCAGAGUUUUGGCAGUAAAACAUGGGAUACGCUCAUUGAAGCUUUGCUUGCUUCAAUCUAACUGAUGUUUGACCCAGCUCGCUAUAAACAUGACUGUAAGAAAUAUCGUUUAUAUACAAUCAACUUUCAUAUGAAAAUGUAAAUUGAGAAGCUGUUCUAAUAUGACUUUUUAUUGAAAUUUUAAGUCGAAGGACCAAUCCGUCGGGCGACUUGCAAUAAAGCAUGUACCGGCCCACAGUUUCCAAAGAUCGGUGGACUUUCUCUAUCAAGACCGAUGGAUGGCAAGUUUCUGAUUGCACUGCCAAGAGGUUGUAAAAGGUAACAAGAAUUCAACUUAGUUGUCUAAAAAAUGUUACUCAUUGUUCUCAACCCAAUAACCCCAUCUACAGUGUUUGCCUUGCUUUUAUCGAGCUGCCACCAGAGAUAGUGGUGAAAAAAUGGAGCCUGACAGUUAUACGAUGCCUGUCAAUGUCCAAUUCCCAACAGGUGACGAACAAAUUAUUUCUGACAGUCAUAAGAUAUGAUUUGAGUUGCAUUUUGUUGCCUAAUCAAUUGGAUCCUAAUGCAUGCUGCCAUUGACUUUAAAAGUUUGAAAACUUUUAACAUUUCAAUACAGUUUUUCUUCAGUUGCAUGGUCUAUUUAGGUCUCUCUAGUCAGUGUACAAAUCUAACUGUUUUUUCAUUGUAGAGUAAAGGAAUGGUGGCUUAGGCAGCCGGAACCAGCAGACAGCAGAAUGGUUAGAAGUUAAGGAAAUUUAAAAAAGAAUUGGAGUCAUGUUGUCGAACUUAGCCAGAUGCGUAACAAACUACAAUUUUUCAAAUCAUUAUUAUUUAGUAAAUACUUACUAGGAUAUUGUCCUUUUUUUCCCCUCAGAUGUUGAAUCCCACAGAAUUCUUGGCGGACAUUGUGGUUGAGCAUGAAUACGUUGAGUGCACUUCAUCUGCAAUCCAGGCUUUAGUUUUGUUUAAGAAGUUAUACCCUGGCCAUAGGAAGGAAGAGAUUGAUCAAUUUAUUACCGCUGCUGCACUGUACCUUGAAAAUGUACAAAUGGCAGAUGGUUCAUGGUAUAUCAUAUGAUUAAAUCAAAAUUUGAUUAUAUAAUUUUCUUUCAUUAAAAACUAGAGAAGAAAAAGAACUUAGUGAAGAAACGUUUGCACAGGUACGGGAAUUGGGAGUUUUGCUUCACAUAUGGUACCUGGGUUUGCUCUUGGAGGGCUAACUGCUGCUGGUAAGACCUUCAACAAUUGUGCAGCCAUGCGCAAAGCUAUUAGUUUUCUACUCGCAAUCCAGAAAGAGAAUGGUGGUUGGGGAGAGAGCUACCUUUCAUGUCCAAAAAAAGGUAAAAUAUGAGAGGUGGAUUAUGAUUGAAGCUAGCUGCAAGUAUUUCUUAAUUAAUCUCAUUGUCUUGGACUAAAGUAUUUCACUCUAUGGCGGGUGAUACAGGAGUACGUUCCUCUUGAAGGAAACCGAUCAAAUUUAGUACACACAGCUUGGGCUAUGAUGGGUUUGAUUCAUGCAGGGCAGGCGGAAAGAGACCCCACACCCCUUCAUCGUGCAGCAAAGUUGAUAAUCAAUUCUCAGAUGGAAAAUGGUGAUUUUCCUCAGCAGGUAUCUUGCUUACCACAUUAGUUCCAACCAUAAUUAAAAUAAAUAAAUAAAUUGCCUUAGUAUUACUUGCAUUGCAAGCUUGACGAGUACAAAUAUGAAACACAAAAUAGCACAUCAUGUUGUGUUUGUCUAUACGUAUGCUCAAAUUUUUACUUGAAACGUUGUAUAACUUCUUGUUGAAGUCCCACAUCGGUGGGUUCAAAGAAACCCAAUGGGUUUAAACAGGAUUACCCUACUCUAACUAAUGUUGAGGCAUUUUGUGGUAAAACCUCACACAUGACAAAUUGAGCAGGUGGUUAAGUUGGGACAAUAUCGGUGUCGUUAGAGUAGGAUGAGCCUGGCAAUCCAAAAAUCCAACACUUCUAACAACUAAUUAUAUAUGGCAGGAAAUCACUGGAGUAUUCUUGAAGAACUGCAUGCUACAUUAUGCAGCUUAUAGAAAUAUCUUUCCCAUGUGGGCACUUGCAGAAUACCGCAGGCGGGUUCCGUUCGUUGAUGUCUAAGCUUUGCAGCCAUGUACGUGAAGAAAAUAAUGUUUUGAUUCAUUUGAAAAGCUUUGUAUUUCAGUGUAAAUGGAUUAUAAUAAGCUCAUAGGUUUCAUGUGUGCCAUCUGUCAUGUUGGAUGAGUCACUUAUAAUCCAUGUGCAUUGCACAUGAUCAGUUCUAUUUGUUUGGUUAUAAGCCUAUGGCCUCUCACACCUUACAUGCUUGUAAUGCUUUACCGAGAAUUAAGGAAUUGGUGUAACAGCACCAUCAUCUUCUACCUCUCUCCCUCUCCAUUGUUCUCUUCAACUUUCUUCAUUUCAAGUUCUUGUUGAAUGUUAUUGCAGUAAAACCAUCAUAAACCACCCAAAUUACAGAAUCUAAUAUGGCCUCAGAGCCUAAGUUCGAUUAAACUUUCAUCUGGGAGUGAAUCUGUGCUUGUAGAAUCAAGCUCACAUUGAGCUUCAU
rnacentral:lncRNA from 1 species